rnacentral:rRNA from 1 species
AUUGAACGCUGGCGGCAUGCUUUACACAUGCAAGUCGAACGGUAACAGGCCGCAAGGUGCUGACGAGUGGCGAACGGGUGAGUAAUGCAUCGGAACGUGCCCAGUCGUGGGGGAUAACGCAGCGAAAGCUGCGCUAAUACCGCAUACGAUCUAUGGAUGAAAGCGGGGGACUGUAAGGCCUCGCGCGAUUGGAGCGGCCGAUGUCAGAUUAGGUAGUUGGUGGGGUAAAGGCUCACCAAGCCAACGAUCUGUAGCUGGUCUGAGAGGACGACCAGCCACACUGGGACUGAGACACGGCCCAGACUCCUACGGGAGGCAGCAGUGGGGAAUUUUGGACAAUGGGCGCAAGCCUGAUCCAGCAAUGCCGCGUGCAAGAAGAAGGCCUUCGGGUUGUAAACUGCUUUUGUACGGAACGAAACGGUCCUGGUUAAUACCUGGGGCUAAUGACGGUACCGUAAGAAUAAGCACCGGCUAACUACGUGCCAGCCGCCGCGGUAA